rnacentral:tRNA from 1 species
GCUCUCAUCGUCUAGCGGCCUAGGACGACAGGUUCUCAACCUGUAAAUCGCGGGUUCGAAUCCCGCUGAGAGCA